ensembl:miRNA Mir465d microRNA 465d
UAUUUAGAAUGGCACUGAUGUGAUAAAAUAAAAAAUUGAUCAGGGCCUUUCUAAGUAGAGUAA